rnacentral:rRNA from 1 species
CAGCAGCCGCGGGAACACGAAGGGGGCUAGCGUUGCUCGGAAUCACUGGGCGUAAAGGGUGCGUAGGCGGGUCUUUAAGUCAGGGGUGAAAUCCUGGAGCUCAACUCCAGAACUGCCUUUGAUACUGAAGAUCUUGAGUUCGGGAGAGGUGAGUGGAACUGCGAGUGUAGAGGUGAAAUUCGUAGAUAUUCGCAAGAACACCAGUGGCGAAGGCGGCUCACUGGCCCGAUACUGACGCUGAGGUACGAAAGCGUGGGGAGCAAACAGGAUUAGAUACCCGCGUAGUCCCUGUCUCUUAUAC